AUUGAACGCUGGCGGCAUGCCUUACACAUGCAAGUCGAACGGUAACGGGCCUUCGGGUGCCGACGAGUGGCGAACGGGUGAGUAAUGCAUCGGAACGUACCUUUCAGUGGGGGAUAACGUAGCGAAAGUUACGCUAAUACCGCAUAUUCUGUGAGCAGGAAAGCAGGGGAUCGCAAGACCUUGCGCUGAUUGAGCGGCCGAUGUCAGAUUAGCUAGUUGGUGAGGUAAAGGCUCACCAAGGCGACGAUCUGUAGCGGGUCUGAGAGGAUGAUCCGCCACACUGGAACUGAGACACGGUCCAGACUCCUACGGGAGGCAGCAGUGGGGAAUUUUGGACAAUGGGGGCAACCCUGAUCCAGCCAUGCCGCGUGAGUGAAGAAGGCCUUCGGGUUGUAAAGCUCUGUUGUAAGGGACGAAUGUCGCGAUCAAUAAUACGGAUUGCGAAUGACGUACCUUACCAGCAAGCCCCGGCUAACUACGUGCC
rnacentral:rRNA from 1 species